UUAAUAGAAGCCAAAAAGAGGCUUAUCACUGUUAAUGAUAGAACUGAAAUUUUUUCCUAUUAAG
rnacentral:tRNA from 1 species